CUGUCGUCACAACAACAAAAGAAGCACAAAAAACAAAAGCGAAAUGACACAACAAAAGAAACACAGAAAACAAAAGUGAAAGUACACAGUGCAGCUGCAAUAAAAUGUAAUGCUCUCUCUUUCUUUACAGAGGAGCUGCCCCGCUUUGGUCGCGGAUCCCACUUACCUGGGACUAACCCCGCUUUGGUCGCGGAUCCCACUUACCUGGGACUAACCCCGCUUUGGUCGCGGAUCCCACUUAUUGGGACUAACCCCGCUUUGGUCGCGGAUCCCACUUACCUGGGACUAACCGGUGCACCACCCCUGACUGCUGAAAGUUCUGGUUCCCA
rnacentral:lncRNA from 1 species